rnacentral:rRNA from 1 species
CAGCAGCCACGGUAAUGCGAAGGGUGCAAGCGUUAAUCGGAAUUACUGGGCGUAAAGCGUGCGUAGGCGGUGAGUUAAGUCUGCUGUGAAAUCCCCGGGCUCAACCUGGGAAUGGCAGUGGAUACUGGCUCGCUAGAGUGUGUCAGAGGAUGGUGGAAUUCCCGGUGUAGCAGUGAAAUGCGUAGAGAUCGGGAGGAACAUCAGUGGCGAAGGCGGCCAUCUGGGACAACACUGACGCUGAGGCACGAAAGCGUGGGGAGCAAACAGGAUUAGAGACCCGAGUAGUCCCUGUCUCUUAUAC